GUGGGGAAUAUUGGGCAAUGGGGGCAACCCUGACCCAGCAACGCCGCGUGAAGGAAGAAGGCUUUCGGGUUGUAAACUUCUUUUACCGAGGACGAAGAACGUGACGGUACUCGGAGAAAAAGCCACGGCUAACUACGUGCCAGCAGCCGCGGUAAUACGUAGGUGGCAAGCGUUGUCCGGAUUUACUGGGUGUAAAGGGCGUGUAGGCGGAGAUACAAGUCAGAUGUGAAAUCUCGGGGCUCAACCCCGAAACUGCAUUUGAAACUGUAACCCUUGAGUAUCGGAGAGGCAGGCGGAAUUCCUAGUGUAGCGGUGAAAUGCGUAGAUAUUAGGAAGAACACCAGUGGCGAAGGCGGCCUGCUGGACGACAACUGACGCUGAGGCGCGAAAGCGUGGGGAGCAAACAGGA
rnacentral:rRNA from 1 species